rnacentral:lncRNA from 1 species
UACAGAGUGAAUUCCAGGACAGCCAGGGCUACACAGAGUAACCCUGUCUCAAAAAUAAAAAAAGAUUCAUAAAACCCCUCCACAAGGUUAUGGUUAUAAGGAACAACUGUUGUGUGCAGAGAUUCUCUUAUGUAUGGAGCUGUUUUGUCCUGUAGUGAGCUCUGUGCUUAAGGCUCUUGUGUGUUAUCACCUAGGAAGCAUGGACCUUUUAAUGUUAUAGUUGCUUUUUAAUCACUUAUGGCCUUGCAUGUAGCCCCAAAUUCUUGUAAAUAAUCCUAAUAAACAUAUUGGUUUAUCAU